UACGUAGGGGGCGAGCGUUGUCCGGAAUCAUUGGGCGUAAAGCGCGUGUAGGCGGCCCGGUAAGUCCGCUGUGAAAGUCCAGGGCUCAACCCUGGGAUGCCGGUGGAUACUGUCGGGCUCGAGUCCGGAAGAGGCGAGUGGAAUUCCUGGUGUAGCGGUGAAAUGCGCAGAUAUCAGGAGGAACACCAGUGGCGAAGGCGACUGUCUGGGGUUUUGCUGACGCUGAGGCACGAAAGCCAGGGGAGCGAACGGG
rnacentral:rRNA from 1 species